CGGGUGGGGGCCGGCGGGGGCGGCGCAGGGUCUCCCCUGCGAGGCCAGGCGGAGGUUCGCGGCUCCAGGUGCCCGCUCUGCUCCUCCCAGAAGCUGGACUCACGGGAAACGCAGGCCCGGCCGCCCCGCGAGCCCUCUAUUUACAGCCAGGGCUUGUGAAGGAGGCGGCGCUGAGAAGGCAGCCUUGGGAGGUCCAAGGCGUCUGAAGAUUUCAUCAGGACGUGCCCCCUGCGGCUCCUCCCCGGGGUUUGGGGUCACGAGGAUGUUGCCGCCUGGGACCCCUCCUGGUUACUGCCGUGAACCCGCCGGGCGCGGGGCCUCCUGCCACCUCGACGUCCGGGCUCCAGGCUCCCGGAUCUGGGCCCUUCUCGACAAAGCCGCAAGAGACCCGUGGCCCCUACUUAGAGAGCAGAGCUACCAAACGCCUGGUCACUCAGGCCAGUGACCUCCCACGGGCAUCCUGGGGUCCCCCCUCUUCUCCAGCCUACCUUGAAGACGCUAAAUUUGAAACAGGCUGCGAGUCUUUCCGCCCCCAUCCUGCUCUCCAGUGGGCAGCUCCGUCGUUGCUGGGGUCACUGUCCCCCUAUCCUCUGCCUACCCAGAAAUCUACUCUCAACAUCCACCCAGAGCCAGAGAGAGCUCCGGGAAAUCAAAUGAGCUCCUCUCACCUGGAGAAUGUCAACCAUGUGAGAGAAGAAACUGUCUGUUCGCUGUGGAUCCCUGCUCUGAGAACGGGGUCAGCCACAGGGAGAGAUGGCAGCUUUCAAAACGGGAGCCCAAUCUUUCAACAAGCCCAAGAGAAAAACUGGCAAUGUGCAGGGGGGAAAACCUAUUUGAAAGCAUCAGAGAGCGACUUAGGCUGCCAGGACCUGAGGGACCAGCAUCUCAUACCGAGGGACAUGCACUGAGGGGAGCCCUACAUCCUCCACCUCCUUCCUCUUUGAGGAUUUCCCAAUUCGUAAGUCGGGGGUGAGUGCCGACAGAAACCGAGAACCUUUCAGCAAGCUCAUGAAUCUGGGGACAAAACACUUGAAGUUGGAGGCCCCAAGGCAGCCAGGGUUUGAGGGCCCGAGAUCUCAGAGAAGAUAGGACCCCCUAGAAGAGGCUCUGAUUUGCUGCAGUGUUUUCGCUUUUGAAGCAUUUGCUGAUUCCUAAGCUGUACAGACAUGAGGCUCAGAGGACAAGCAGAAAUUGAGCAGGUGAGAGGCCGAGAAAGUGAGCAACGUCUGCACCAAUAUCAUGACGCCCUAACAGCCGAACUUGGAGUUCGGUUGUCACCCAACAGGUGGAGCCACGGAAAAUGAACGCUGGUUUCCAUUGAGUCCUCCAACAGACUUGUUCUAGGAAGUAAGGACAAACCAAAUAAACCAGAUCUCAUAAAAAUGGAAAAUCAGUCUUGAAUCAUUACAAUCAUGGUAACCUGUCCUUACUCUAGUGGCUGUCAGGGCAAAAAAGGUAAGUCUGCUUCAGGAAAAAUAUAACAUCAUCCACAGACACUACACUAUUUCAAACAAAAUGCCUAACCAGCAUUCAUAAAAAUAUUACCAGACAUGUCAGAAAGAGGACCAAAUAACCAAAAACCAAGAGCAAACAAAACAAGAGAUAGACAAUAAGAAAAAGCUCACAGAUGACUGGUUAAUGAGGCUGUUGGAGAUAAACUGUAAAAUAUCUGUUAUUAACAUAUUCAAUAAAAAGAUGACAAGAUGGAAAACUUUAUUAGAGAAACAGAAUAUCUAAAAAAUAAUCACAUGAAUAUUUGCUAACUGGGAAAAUACAAUAACAGAAAUUAAAAAGACAAUAGGCUGGUGUAAUAGCCAGUUAAACAAAGCAGAAGAUAGAAUUGUUGGAAAUAUCCAUACUGAAGCUUGGCGACCAAAGAGGAUUGCAGGUACACAAAAGAGCCUUAGACAUCUGGACCAGGGUGAAUAGGUCUAACGUGAGUGUAACUUAAAUCCUAAAAACAGGGGAAAGAGACUGUCAGAAGUGCUGUAUGAAGGUAUAUAACUGAGGCUUCUUCAAAGUUGAAAGACACUAAGUCAGAGAUUCAGGAACCCCUGGCAUGUUAACACAAAGAAAUACAUACCUGAAAGAAAACAAUGGCCAAUCUAGAACUUUAUUCUGUUAAAAUUAUCCUUUGAAGGUGGAUAAUCAAUAAAUGUUUUCAUGGAAGCAAAAACAGAUCAUUCAUAGUCAGCAGAUGUGCAUUAAAAUAAAUACCAAAUGGAAUUGUUUAGGAAGAAGGAAAAAUGAUUCUAAAUGAAGAAUACAGGAAAAACGAAGACUAAUAGAAAGGGUAAAUAUGUUGGAAAAUUUAACCAUGAGUGCACAAAAUAGCAAUAGUAAUAAUAAUUUGUGGAGGU
rnacentral:lncRNA from 1 species